GGUGGUGCCAGUAGGAAGAGUCAGGGGGCGGAGGAGGAGCGGCGGUGUGUGGCCAUGAGGAUGGCGGAGGAGUAGGUGGAGGUGGCGGAGGAGAUGGUGAAUGAGGAAGAUGCUUAGGCCACACGUGCAAAAGAGAUUGAUCCAUAGCAGGAGGAUGACCCCACACGUGUAAAGGCCUAAAAUGAGGGUGCAUGGGCGUCAUGGGCGGAAAUCCCAUGGUGGGCGGUGCACCCCAUGGACUCACCUCUCUCUUU
rnacentral:lncRNA from 1 species